rnacentral:misc_RNA from 1 species
GAUGAAGAACGUAGCGAAAUGCGAUAAGUAAUGUGAAUUGCAGAAUUCAGUGAAUCAUCGAAUCUUUGAACGCACAUUGCGCCCGCCAGUAUUCUGGCGGGCAUGCCUGUUCGAGCGUCAUUUCAACCAUCAAGCCCCCGGCUUGUGUUGGGGACCUGCGGCUGCCGCAGGCCCUGAAAAGCAGUGGCGGGCUCGCUGUCACACCGAGCGUAGUAGCAUACAUCUCGCUCUGGGCGUGCUGCGGGUUCCGGCCGUUAAACCACCUUCAUAACCCAAGGUUGACCUCGGAUCAGGUAGGAAGACCCGCUGAACUUAAGCAUAUCAAUACGGAGGA